GCCUAGCUGGCUCAGUUGGUAGAGCGUGCAACUCUUGAUCUCAGGGUUGUAAGAUCAAGUCCCACGUUGGGUG
rnacentral:tRNA from 1 species